GGCCUUUAGUUUUCUCGUUUGAAAUGUUUUACAUUGUCUCAUCGGGGCUCUUUAUAGCUGACUAUGCUGUAUGGGCUUUGCUCAUUGUUGAAGGCUGUACAGUGACCUAUAGUUUUUAAUGUCUGUGUCAUUUUGGUCUUUUGUGGAUAGUUGUCUCAUUGGCAAUCAUACCACAUCUUCUUUUUUAUAUUAUACAUAAAAA
rnacentral:lncRNA from 1 species